AACAAAUUUGGUGAUUUCCAUGGAUAUGGUUAUUGGAAAAAGAAAAGUUUGCUGAACUAAUGUAAUUGGCAAAAAGAACGUGGAGGACCAGAAAUGGCACAAAUAGAGAAGUAAGGAUAUUUGAGUUUUGGAUUGUUAAGUGUUAUUCAAUUUUAACUUUUGGAAUGAAUAACCAUUGUUUCGAGAAAAGAUUAUCAGAAUGAAUUAAGAGUUAAAGAUAGUGCACUAAGAGGAAGAUUAGCCAAUUGGAUUAAGUUUUUAUUUAACGAAUUUGGUGAUUUGUUGUUGACAUGAUUAUUGGAACAAGAAAAGUUGGCUAUACUAAUGUAAUUGGUAUAAAGAACAUGAAGGACCAUAAAAGGCACAAAUAUAGAAGUAAGGAUAUUUGAUUUUUUGAUUGAUGUGUGACAUUCAACUUUUAACUUUUGGAAUGAAGAGCCAAUGUUUUGAAAACAGAUUACUUGUUUUGAAAACAGAUUACCAUAAUGGAUUUAGAGUUAAGAUAGUGCACUACGAGAAAGAUUAGCCAUUUGGAUUUAGGAUUUUGUUUAAGGAAUUUGGUGAUUUGCCAUGGAUAUGGUUAGUGGAAGAAGAAAUGUUGGCUAUACUAAUAUAAUUGGUAAAAAGAACAUGGAGGACUAUAAAGGAAACAAAUAAAGAAGUAAGGAUAUUUGAGUUUUGGAUUGAAGUGUGGCAUUUGGACUUUAACUUUUGGAAUGAAGAGCCAAUGCUUGGAGAAAGGAUUACGAUGAAUUAAGUGUUAAAAUAGUUCGAUAUUUGAGUUUUGGAUUGAAGUGUGGCAUUUGGACUUUUAACUUUUGGAAUGAAGAGCCAAUGCUUGGAGAAAGGAUUACGAUGAAUUAAGUGUUAAAAUAGUUCCUUAAUUGUAAGAUUAGUCAAUUGGAUUAUGAUAGAUCACCAAGUUGUGUUCGUAUUGUAUGGAUAUAAACUUCAACGAUUGCAGUAAGGAAUAGAUCAAUUUCAGAAUGAAAAGUACGAAAAACCAAGAAGAGAAUUAAAAGAACUAUCCUCUCUGCUUUUGGGUUAAUUUGUGCAAGAGAAAGGUCCCAUUGGUGUAAUAAGGUGUCGGAUGAGAUUGAACUUAAAUUUUUGAAUGAAGAGUUAUUUGCUUUCUUUGGAUGAAAUAAGUUACGAAAUGUUAAGAUGGACAGAGAUAAGGUAUCCAUUUGGUUUUCGGAGUAGUGGCUUUCGCUUGGACAUGAAGUUUGUUAUAUUUGUGGAGAUUCAUUGGCACAAGGUUUUGGAGUAUUAAAAGUUUUGAAGGAUUGGUGGAGAAGCGUAUAAGCCUAAUAGGUGUAUCUAAUGGAACCAAAAAAAGAAGUAUGGAGGUUUUUAAUUAAAGGAAGUACUUGAAUGAAAGAUCUUUGGGUAAUUAACGCUAAUGCUGGUUCGAUUCUGUUUAUUAUAAGCUGAUUACGGGCAAUCUUAUGGAAUUGCUUAGUUUGUUAGGUAUUGAAGAAGGCAGGAAGAUAAGUUUGUAUAAGGCCAUGAUUAUGUAAGGAGAUGGGAAGAUAAGUUUGAAUAAAGGAAUUUUAUACUAAAGUAUAAAAAGAACAUGGAGGACUAUAAAUGGGACAAAUAGAGAAGUAAGGAUAUUUGAGUUUUGCAUUUAAGUGUGGCAUUGGACUUCAACUUUUGGAAUGAAGAGCCAAUGUUCAGAGAAAAGAUUAUCAAAAUGGAUUAAGAGUUAAGAUAGUGCACUAAGAGAAAUAUUAGCCAAUUGAAUUAAGUUUUAAUUAAACGAAUUUGGUGAUUUGCCAUGUACAUGGUUAUUGGAAAAAGAAAACUGGGCCAUACUAUUGCAAUAUUGGUAAAAAGAACAUAGAAGAUCAUAAAUGACACAAAUAGAGAAGUAAGGACAUUUGAUUUUUGGAUUGAAGUGUGACAUUGGCUUUUAACUUUUGGAAUGAAGAGUCAAUGUUUAGAGAAAAGAUUAUCAUAAUGGAUUAAGAGUUAAGAUAGUGCACUAAGAGAAAGACUAGCCAAUUGGAUUUUUAGUUUUUAUUUAACAAAUUUGGUGAUUUCCCAUGGACGUGGUUAUUGGAAAAAGAAAAGUUGGCUAUACUAAUGUAAUUGGUAAAAAUAAAUGGAGGACUAUAAAUGGCACAAAUAGAGAAGUCAAGAUAUUUGAGUUUUGAAUUGAAGUGUGACAUUCGACUUGAACAUUUUCAGUGGUUUUGUUAGAAGUUUAAUGACUGAAUAGCUUUGCUUCGUAGUCGUAGGAAAUUGUUUGUUUAUGAUAAACUACCUAGGAUUAUUUUAUACAUAUACAGAACUGUUUUAAAUAUUGCUUCAUGGGAAUAUCUUUGUUUUGUUUUUAUGUGUUCUUUGUCGAUAUAUAUAGUGUUUUUGUUUCAAAGAGUAGGUGAGUCAAAUAGUAGGACUGAUUGUAAAGACGGGUUUGAGAGAAGUUGAUGAGCAAGGAAUGAAAUUAUAACAUCCUUUAUUGUCUUAGUGGUUAGGAAUGGAGCAUUGAACUCUAAUUUUAAAAUAAAUAAUAAUAUAUAUGUUUUGAGUAUUAAAAGUUUUUGAAGGAUUGGUGAAGAAACUUAUAAGCCUAAUAGGUGUUUUUAAAGGAACCAAGAAAAGAGGUCUGAAGGUUUUUAAUUAAAGGGAGUACUUGAAUAAAAAUUCUUUCGGGUAAUUGGUGCAAGUGCAAAGUUAGAUUCUGUUGGUUAUAAGCUAGAUAAGGGGCAAUCUUAUGGAAUUGCUGAGUUUGUUAGGUAUUAAAGGAGACCCAAAGAUAAGUUGAAUAAGAGAAUGAUUAUCUUCAAGUAGAUAGGAAGAUAAGUUUGAAUAAGGGAAUUUCAAAUUAAAGUACGAUAUUGGACUUCAAGUUUUUGAUAGAUUUCUUGUCAUUCUUUGGAAGAAAGAUUAGCAAACUCAUUGAAGUGCUAAUGAAAUGGACAAACUAAGCUACUUUCUUUGAGUAGCUGACAAUUGGCUAUGGAGAUUGAUUUGAGACCUGACGAUAACAUUAGAGUGUGCCAUUAAGAAU